CCAACGGCCCUCUUUAGGGCCAUAUAUGGGUACUACACGAAUCGA
rfam:Heligmosomoides polygyrus genome assembly, scaffold: HPBE_scaffold0003963